CUUAAAGAGGUUAUCCCAUUGGACCAUGAGAAAUUUAAUUACACUAACAAAGGUUAUAAACUUCUCAAAUCACAAAAUUAACUAUUAAAUUAUUCAUUAGAAUCCAUAAUGGGCUCUAACCAUUGGAGUUGCUCUAAGGUUUUGCAACGGAGAAUCUGCACAGAUCUGCAAAUCGGUGGUUUUGAGAAUGUAUUCAGUCAUUUCUUAGGGGCGACAACUAAGGAUUCUCAAGAUCGUAUUAGGAGUUUUUGGACAAGGAAAAAAGAUCUCCAAGACGAAGUUGUGAAGAAUAAUCUAUGGAGUUGAGGUUUCUAAUGGUGGGAUAAGAAAAGAUUGGAAAUUUAAUAUAGGAUCUUUGUCAUGCCUUUAUUAUCCUUAAAGGUUUGAGGUCGGAGUCAAUAGCGUAUAGGGAGUCUGAAUGUGGUUGGAAGACUAGGAGGUUGGUUUUUUUGUAUAAGUUUUGAUCUUCUUAUACCAUAGUAUUACCUCUCCGAAGUUAUUUCGUUUCCUUUGGUGUC